UUCUUGAACUGUGUAUCUGGGUAUGUGUUUUUUCAGUUUUCUACACAUGGUGGAUUCUAAGCUUGCGCCACCAAGGAUUUGCACUUUCCCCUUGUCUGCUAAGUGUUUGGACACGGGAAACUUGUUGGACAUGGCCGCAUGCGUGUCCCAACCGUUUUUCUGCUCCAAAAUAAAAGGCUGAAACGCACUACCUCUAACACUGAUCUUCUUCCACUCACGCCGAUCUCUUCUUCUUUAGCUCUUAGAUCUAUAAUCCUAUUUCACUUUUACUGUUUUGCCCUUUGCCCUUUCUGUCCAUGUGUGCUUUUUAUUGCUUUGUCUGCCUCACAGUGUCCCACAUUAAGAGCUCUUUUAUCUCCUGCCACCCUCUUGAACAAAAGAUGUGUAAAUAGAUGUUUCUUUUCAAUUCUUUUUUUGUCUUUUAUGAGUUCUACCUCCUAUCAAGCCAGGUAGUCAACUUUUUACAAUUCUUAUUUCAUUAUUUAGGUGGCUAUACUUUAAUAUGCUUCUAAAAGAUUUUUUAACAAUUAUUUAAAAAUAUUUUUGUUAUAAAACAAAUUUUUCAGGUUUGUCUUCUGUGUCUUUAUUUGUAAUUUUGAAAGUUUUUAAGGUAUUCAUGUUCAUAAGAUAUGUUCUUUGGUGAUUGCCAUCUUCCAAUGUCUCUCUUAUAGAAUAAUAUUCUAAUUGCAUGAUUUCCUUAUGUGAUCAGUCUUUUAAAGAAAUGGUUGCAAUGUGUCUGGUGAAAGAUCCUGGAAAGGGGCGGAAUUUAUUGAAACACACCUUUUUCAAGCAUGCAAAGUCUCUUGAGAUUUCUGUGAAGAAAUGAUUCGCUGACUUGCCUCCCCCUUGGAAUCAUGUAAAAGCCCGCCAGGUUACCCAUCACAUUGCUGAGACGCACCUUUUGUACUUUCACUUGUCCUGGUAAGCUUGUGUCAUGGCUAUGGUUAAUUUUGCAGCUUAAAGAUUAGGUGCAACUCUGUAAGGAAGAAGAGGUAAUAUCACAGGUCAUAUACAUUUGUCCACGCCAUUAAAUUUGAACUUAAAAUGCACGUAGUGAUAUUUCUUUAAUUUUUAUCUAUAUUUACUACAUAUUUAAUUCAAUUGAAUUCAAUUUCUUAAGAAUAACCGAUGUAGGAUCUCUCACUUAACUUUAGUUAUCUGUCAAAACCGUCCCCAAUUUUGUUUUCCUCUUGUUCAUAUUGACUAAGUUCCCCUUUCCAUUUAGUUACACCGAUGAUAUGGAGCUUGAUGACGCUGUGUAUGCGGCUAUUUUGAUGCUAAAGGAGGGACGAAUAGUGAUUUUUUUGCUAAACUCAUGGUCUUUUGGGUCAAUAUUCACCUGGAAAGACAAAUUCUAUAAACAUUUGCUAAAAUACAACUAUCCAGGUACUUGAAACAGUGUUAACUGUGUUGGUGACUGUAGUUGAGGACAUCAAAUGCUCCGAUAUAGCUGAUGUUAUUGUUGAACUGAAUCUUCUGAGUGCUUCAAAUGCCCUUUAAAGAAGGGUCUCUUGCUCCAUUCUAAGCAAACAACGCAUCACAAAACCUUUAAGGUCUAGCCAAUGAGCUAGAUUCAACAAUAAUGGAAAGGAGUGUGAGAUCAUGAUUCAAGAAAUGUUGUGUGCAUGUAUAAGUACUUACCAAUCCAAUAAACAACAAAACUAUUAAGGUUUCAUUUGUU